rnacentral:rRNA from 1 species
GACGGGGGGGCAAGUGUUCUUCGGAAUGACUGGGCGUAAAGGGCACGUAGGCGGUGAAUCGGGUUGAAAGUGAAAGUCGCCAAAAAGUGGCGGAAUGCUCUCGAAACCAAUUCACUUGAGUGAGACAGAGGAGAGUGGAAUUCGUGUGUAGGGGUGAAAUGCGCAGAUAUCAGGAGGAACACCAAUGGCGAAGGCAGCUCGCUGGGACGGUACUGACGCUGAGACGCGAAAGCGUGGGGAGCAAACAGG